rnacentral:misc_RNA from 1 species
UGACAUGCGGUGAAUGUGA